rnacentral:rRNA from 1 species
UACGUAGGGGGCAAGCGUUGUCCGGAAUUAUUGGGCGUAAAGAGCGUGUAGGCGGUUCGAUAAGUCUGCUGUGAAAGUCCAGGGCUCAACCCUGGAAUGCCGGUGGAUACUGUUGAACUAGAGUCCGGAAGAGGCGAGUGGAAUUCCUGGUGUAGCGGUGAAAUGCGCAGAUAUCAGGAGGAACACCAAUAGCGAAGGCAGCUCGCUGGGACGGAACUGACGCUGAGACGCGAAAGCGUGGGGAGCAAACAGG